CUCCGCUGUCGCCACUGAGAUUCACCAUCGGUAAGGGUUUUUGAGUUUGGUUUACCUUCGUUUAAGAUUCUGAAAACCUUAUUGUCUCUGCGUGUUGGUUUUAGUCACCGUCGAAGAAGCUUCAGCUGCCGCGGUCGAUUGUCACUAGGGAACAACCGCCGUGCCUCUGGUCGCCGAAAUCACGGACUGGAGAGAAGGGGGCUGCCUCUCCUAUUGCUGCUGUUUCGUUCUUUUAUCGUCCCGUUCUUGCCGGUUUUGGCCAUUGGAUUUGUAACAGCUCCAACUUUUAUUUCCCUCUUGAUUCGAGUAACUAUGGUUGUUGCAAAAGUGGUUUGGAGCCGUGGUUGUGGCUGCCGCUGUGAUGAGCCGGGG